GAUGAACGCUGGCGGCGUGCUUAACACAUGCAAGUCGAACGGGGAUGCCAUUUUCGAGGUGAUUAGUUUACUAAGAGCCAAGAUGUUGGCAUCUUAGUGGCGGACGGGUGAGUAACGCGUGGGUAACCUGCCUUAUACAGGGGGAUAACACUUAGAAAUAGGUGCUAAUACCGCAUAAGCGCACGGGGCUGCAUGGCCCAGUGUGAAAAACUCCGGUGGUAUAAGAUGGACCCGCGUCUGAUUAGCUUGUUGGCGGGGUAACGGCCCACCAAGGCGACGAUCAGUAGCCGGCCUGAGAGGGUGGACGGCCACAUUGGGACUGAGACACGGCCCAA
rnacentral:rRNA from 1 species